rnacentral:rRNA from 1 species
AGGAGUGGAGCCUGCGGCUUAAUUUGACUCAACACGGGAAAGCUCACUAGGUCCGGACACCGGAAGGAUUGACAGAUUGAGAGCUCUUUCUUGAUUCGGUGGGUGGUGGUGCAUGGCCGUUCUUAGUUGGUGGAUUGGUUUGUCUGGUUAAUUCCGAUAACGAACGAGAUUCUAGCCUGCUAACUAGGCGUUCUCCGGUAUCUAGAAGGCUCGCGGCUCUCGUUAACGUUAACAUUGUGUUCAUAUACGAUGUGUAUGUGUUGUGUUCUAUAGUACUAUUUUGUUUUAUGAAAUAUGUAAUGGUAGCAAUAUUAUUGCAUAUGAAUUGGCUUGAUAGUUUCUAUAUGAUCCACACUACAUUUAGUUUUGGCCAUGUUUACGGUACGAGUGUUCGCGGUUUUUACUACCGGCGUACAAUUAAUUCUUCUUAGAGGGACAGGUGGCUCCUAGCCGCACGAGAUUGAGCAAUAACAGGUCUGUAAUGCCCUUAGAUGUUCUGGGCCG